rnacentral:rRNA from 1 species
UACGUAGGGUGCGAGCGUUGUCCGGAAUUAUUGGGCGUAAAGGGCUCGUAGGCGGUCUGUUGCGUCGGUUGUGAAAACCUGGGGCUCAACUCCAGGCCUGCAAUCGAUACGGGCAGACUAGAGUUCGGUAGGGGAGACUGGAAUUCCUGGUGUAGCGGUGAAAUGCGCAGAUAUCAGGAGGAACACCGGUGGCGAAGGCGGGUCUCUGGGCCGAAACUGACGCUGAGGAGCGAAAGCGUGGGGAGCGAACAGG